AUGGAAAUGCAGAAAUCACCCGUCUUCUGCGUCGCUCACGCUGGUUGCUGUAGACCGGAGCUGUUCCUAUUCGGCCAUCUUGGCUCCUCCCGUGAGAUUUUUAAAAACCAGAAAUGAAGGGAGCAGGUAGGAUGCCAGGAUGGGACUCGCAUCUGCUCUGGUUGAUGAGGCGCUGUGAGGAUGGCAGGGAAUGUUCUUCCCUCAGGAGGUGAGGAGAAGGUCUCUCACUCCCACAGCUUCUUCUGGUACUUUCUGGUAGAUUAGCCCAAGACCCCUGCUUUCGAGACACAGACACAGGGAGAACACCAGAUGUUGAUGGGGGCAGAAACUGAAGGGACACAUCUAAAAGCUGAGACAUGGUGAAGAAUGCCACCAAUGGCCAGAAGCCAGGAAGAGAUGAGGAAGAAUCCUGUCCUAAAAUCAUCAGAGGGAGUGUGUCCCCGAUGAUGCCUCGAUUUCAGAACUUCUAGCCUCCAGAACUAUGAGACAACGCAUUUCUCUUCUUUCAAGCCAUAUAGUUUGUGGUCUCGUGUUACGGCAGACCCAGAAACUAAUAAUUCUGUGGACUUGUGCUUCUAAAUAGAAAAUACAAACUUAUAAAUCUUUCUCAUAAAUCAUCUGAGAAGUUAGAGGCAUCUAGGAUUAAGGAGGAAAAUCCUGGUCUAUAUGUUGAGAAAAGAGGAAAAGAAGCCAAAAGACUCCAAUACAACAUGUGGAAUUUAGCAAAAUCAACAUUUGAGAUACUUUUUCAACAAUCCCGUUUCUUAACUGAGAUUUUAUUGUUGGGUUCAUAAAUUAAUUUAACAAGCAUGUUUCACCUGCAGAGAGCCGGGGUGGCCACGCUGGGAAGAGUAUGGACUUUGGAGUUGCACAGGCUUGGGUUCAAUCCAGGCUUCCCCACUUAGCAGCCAGUGGUCUCAGGCAAGUUACUUGACCUACAUGAGCCUCAGCCUCCUUCCGUGCCCAUCUCCGGGUUUGCUGUGUGGAGUCAAUAGUUGAUAUUUGUGAUAAGUGCAGCAAAGCACUGCCUGUGGGUAUGAUGCAAUCUGCUCCCAAUGUAUAUAUCCAAAGGAAACAUCUGUCCUCAACAGAAAUCAGAGCAAUCCCCAACACUUAAAGAGCAGACAUUCAUGCAGGUGGAUGAAGCAGAACCAGAGACACUUGAGCUUGACUGAAAGAAGGAGAAAGUUGCAUCAUGCUUAGAGCAGGAGUUUUCAAGAGAAGUGUGAAAAAAACACAACCCUGACAUCCACCUUGGACAGAUAUAACAGGACACGUGUUUCUCAUGUGAAGAGAUUCUUUAUUUGAUUUUCAUCACCUUUCAAUGAAAGAGUGGGUCCUGUCAGCACUACGUAAAAUAUAUAUCUUAA
rnacentral:lncRNA from 10 species